ensembl:lncRNA
AUUUGGGUGGGUUCUCUAUUAUCUCAUUUCAGAGGUGAAGCAAGACCAGCUCAGUCACACCUUCCACACUUCAGGGAAACCAACCAUCCCCGUGACUUCAGGGCCUUCCAGUCCUCUGGGCUCCCGACUUGCCGUCCCUUCUCCUUCACCCCCGGCUCUGCAGUGACCCCAGCACAUGUGUCCUGGAGCCAGUACUGUCCUGGAAGCCUGUGUAUCAGAUGUGAUGUCAGGAGGUGGAGAGCCCUUGCUUUGAAAAGUGCCUACAGAGCAGUUUCGCCCCUCUGUGAACAUGAACCAGCCUUGGCAAGCGUGCG